UAGGGAAUCUUCCACAAUGGGCGAAAGCCUGAUGGAGCAACGCCGCGUGGGUGAAGAAGGUCUUCGGAUCGUAAAACCCUGUUGUUAGAGAAGAAAGUGCGUGAGAGUAACUGUUCACGUUUCGACGGUAUCUAACCAGAAAGCCACGGCUAACUACGUGCCAGCAGCCGCGGUAAUACGUAGGUGGCAAGCGUUAUCCGGAUUUAUUGGGCGUAAAGGGAACGCAGGCGGUCUUUUAAGUCUGAUGUGAAAGCCUUCGGCUUAACCGGAGUAGUGCAUUGGAAACUGGGAGACUUGAGUGCAGAAGAGGAGAGUGGAACUCCAUGUGUAGCGGUGAAAUGCGUAGAUAUAUGGAAGAACACCAGUGGCGAAAGCGGCUCUCUGGUCUGUAACUGACGCUGAGGUUCGAAAGCGUGGGUAGCAAACAGG
rnacentral:rRNA from 3 species